UACGGAGGGGGCUAGCGUUGUUCGGAAUUACUGGGCGUAAAGCGCGCGUAGGCGGACCUGCAAGUCGGGGUGAAAGCCCGGAGGCUCAACCUCGGAACUGCCUCGAUACUGCGGGUCGUCGAGUCCGGGAGAGGUGAGUGGAAUUCCUAGUGUAGAGGUGAAAUUCGUGAGAUAUCAGGAAGAACACCAAUGGCGAAGGCAG
rnacentral:rRNA from 1 species